UACACUGUAAAAAGUGCUACACCCACAAAGUGCAGCAUUUUUCUCGGCUGUUGUUCGCUGCAGCGGAUCUGGAUUUCAGGGACUGGUUAACACGGACCCAUCUGCCUCUGUGGAGAAAAGGAGAGAAGUGGUCCUGAGAUGCCUGAUUGAGUAUGUGGGGGAGAGACAGGAAGACCUCAUCAGUGUCCACCACAGUCAUGAUGAAACAGAGGUGCACGCUGAGCUUGGCAGUUGCCCACUGAAAAUUUACAUAUGCCAUCAGCCCGACAUGAUUGGGAUCAUCAUAGAAGGACAGCCUGUGGUCAGAGGUGUGCCAAACCUGUCGAAAGCAUGCUGCCUCCUGUUUGGACUUACCUAUGCCCUCGACCUCAAGUAUCCCUCAAAAAUGGUGUAUACCUUUGUAUAUAUAUAUAUAUAUAUAUAUAUGUAUGUAUAUAUAUUAUAUCUCUUUGUGGGAUUGGACGCCAUGCGUCCUAAGCCAUCAUCCAAGUAUGCAAAUCUCCUUACCAAGUUGUCUUAGAUUAUUUCUCAGUGGCAUCUGACAUUUAUUGGCUGUUUUGUAGUCCCUGUUAAAAGUGAAACUGGUUGACAUUGAAUAAAUGUUAUUGUUUUCAA